ACAUUCUUAGCUCAGUGGAUAAGAGCGACAACCUUCUAAGUUGUUGGCCGCAGGUUCAAAUCCUGCAGGAUGUA
rnacentral:tRNA from 1 species